GGUGGAGUGGCUUAAGUGGUAGAGCGCCUGCCUAGUAAGCAUGAGGCCCUGAGUUCAAACCUCAACACCACCA